rnacentral:rRNA from 1 species
GACGAACGCUGGCGGCGUGCCUAAUACAUGCAAGUAGAACGCUGAAGGAGGAGCUUGCUUCUCUGGAUGAGUUGCGAACGGGUGAGUAACGCGUAGGUAACCUGCCUGGUAGCGGGGGAUAACUAUUGGAAACGAUAGCUAAUACCGCAUAAUAGUAGAUGUUGCAUGACAUUUGCUUAAAAGGUGCAAUUGCAUCACUACCAGAUGGACCUGCGUUGUAUUAGCUAGUUGGUGGGGUAACGGCUCACCAAGGCGACGAUACAUAGCCGACCUGAGAGGGGGAUCGGCCACACUGGGACUGAGACACGGCCCAGAAUCCUACGGGAGGGAGCAGUAGGGAAUCUUCGGCAAUGGACGGAAGUCUGACCGAGCAACGCCGCGUGAGUGAAGAAGGUUUUCGGAUCGUAAAGCUCUGUUGUAAGAGAAGAACGAAUGUGAGAGUGGAAAGUUCACGCUGUGACGGUAUCUUACCAGAAAGGGACGGCUAACUACGUG